AAGACAAGAUGGCCGCCGACCUCUGCCCCAGCCGAGCCAGUCCACACUUUUUCGCCAUUCCAAGCCUUGUGGAGGGUGUGAGGUCUGUUAGGAAGUGACAAUCGUUCUCUCAGCCUUUCGACACCACAAGCAGCCGCCGGGAACCCUGCUGGUCAUACGGGGAAGGUCCCUGCCUCCCCUGGGGGCAGACUCCUGGCUGGUGGCUGUCCUCCUCACACCUCCUGCCUCCACAUGUCUUCUCAAAGGUCUUUUUGGUGGUCGGGCUGUGAGUCUCCCAGCCUUGCCGAUGGAAGAUUCUCCUCCCCGGCCUUCCUCCUCCUUCAGGUCUUCCAGCUGGUCUCCUCCCGUGUACCUCCACAACUCCUCUGGAAGGUGGAGAGGGAGGAGUGCGGACAAUAACGCUGCCUGUUCAGUGUGGGCCCCAAACACCUAAAUGCCAAGGAAGAGAACAUGAAGGUGGCGGCAAUGAGAGAGGAGGAGGCAGAGGACGAGGGAAUGAUUUAAAUGCUGCGGAAGAGAGCUGUCUGGGAACUGGCUUGAAGAGAGAUAAGAGGAAGAGGAGGAAGAAGAAGAACAAGAGGAGAAGGAUGAAGGGGGGACACAGGAAACAAUUGGUCCCUGCUUUCCCCUGACAGUGGUGGUCUCCUUGCUCCCGGGUGGUUGUCUUCACAUUUUUCUGCCUCCGCCUCCACAGGGCUUCCCAAAGGCUCCCCAAACACCACGACAGGCCAGCUGAGAAACAGAGCCUGGAGACACCCUCUUCCUUGGGGACCUUUCCUCAUGGCACCCUAACCUCCCUCCAAGAGACUCCCUCCCCACCCAACAACCCAUCCCUCCCUCCUCUCAGUGCCAGGCACAUUCUCCCCUCCCAAAGUCUCCCGUCCCAUCCCAACAACCCAUCCAUAUUCUUCACUUGGUGGGCAAUGCUUGGCUGCUUGCCUUCUGAGACCUUCCUCAUGUACUUGGCAAUAUAGCCGUAGUGUUAAGGGAGAAAAUUUUGAUUAAACAGUGUGUGAGCUCAAAAGGUGAAACUAGCCAGCAAGGGAUGAUCCCUGUGGUGCGUCAAGAGACACGAAGAGGUGUACUACUGGCAAAAGUGUAGUAAGCACGACUUACCUGGCUUCCUCUGUGUUCGUACAGGCCUCCCAACACGGAGCUUGAUCUCUGUAGGAAGCCUCGUGGUGACCACGACACACACAAAGGACCUCAAAUCAUCUGUAGGGUUCUUAAUUAUAUCUCCUUAUGGGUCUGGCAAGGACCCUCAGUGUACACAAAGGUUAACUGGUAAGGUGUGUACAACUAUGCACAACUUUAUUACAACCAAAGAACAGAAAACUCCACCACACACACACAAACUGACCUAGCGCGUCUCCGUGCGCCUACAGAACCUAAUCUGACCUGGCUACACUAACGAUACACGGUAUACUUAGCUUGGUGCGGAGGAAGGAUGAGAUGACGUGCAGCUGGCCCUCCUGCUGAGGCUCUUCAAAUCCAUACAUUAUUAUAUAUAUAUAUAUAUAUAUAUAUAUAUAUAUAUAUAUAUAUAUAUAUAUAUAUAUAUAUAUAUAUAUAUAUAUAUAUAUAUAUAUAUAUAUAUAUAUAUAUAUAUAUAUAUUUAUUUAUUUAUCAAUUAGCUCGAAUCUCUUCCAAGUGGCUGGGUCCAUUUGUUUCCCCUCAUGAAACACGAGUUCAGAGUCACUCUUGAUGGCUGCUGUUUCAUGAGCCAUGUUUCAGCAGCCAUAUUCUUCACUUGGUGGGCAGUGCUUGGCCACUUGCCUUCUGCGACCUUCCUCGUGAAUGUACUUGGCAAUGAAGCCAUAGUUCUUCAUGAUACACAUCUCCCUGUGUGUGAGACCACCAGAGGGCUUGUUUUUUUUCCUCCCGACUCUAUCUCUCAGAGUUGAUCUUGGUUUGCAGAUGCACAGCUGUUCAGCCUUUACUUGAAAGGCUCUUGCUUUUUAUUUUGGUUUUUAAAGUCAGCCUUCUCACUGUUGUAUAAGAAUUCAUUCUCCUUAUACCAAUCGGCAAGAUCUUUCUCUUCUUCAGCUCCAAGUGUGAGAGCUGCGGCUGAACUUCUUUGUUUCCUGUGAACCUGCUCCUUGUGUCUUGUUGCUGUAUGUUCUCCUCCCUUCAAAUGAGUCCUAAAGGGGAAGAAAUCCGCAUUGGGAUUUUUUUUCUACAGCAAAGGAAACGGCUCAAGGGCAAAAAAAGGAGAUAGUAAUGAAAGAAAGCCCACAACUCACUGCCCCUAUAGAAAAGCGUUCAGAGGGGUGGCCAAAAGAGAGGUCAAUUUCGGGAGGAGAGGUGUCCCGAUACCCUCCUCUUGAAAGAGUUCAAGUCAUAAGCAGGAGGAAACACAGAUGAAGGAAGAUUGUUCCAGAGAUUACCAAUGUGAGGGAUGAAAGAGUGACGAUGCUGGUUAACUCGUGUGUAAGGGGUUUGGACAGUAAAGGGAUGAGCUUGAGUAGAAAGUCGAGUGUGGUGAGGGCGUGGGAGGGGGGAGAGGGAUGCAGUUAGCAAGUUCAGAAGAGCGGUCAGCCACAUAUUCCCCCCCCAGAGUCUCCCGUCCCAUCCCAACAACCCAUCCCUCCCUCCUCCUCUCAGUGCCAGCCACAUUCUCCCCUCCCAGAGUCUCUCGUCCCAUCCCAACAACCCAUCCCUCCCUCCUCCCCUCAGUGCCAGCCACAUUCUCCCCUCCCAGAGUCUCCCGUCCCAUCCCAACAACCCAUCCCUCCCUCCUCUCCUCAGUGCCAGCCACAUUCUCCCCUCCCAGAGUCUCUCGUCCCAUCCCAACAACCCAUCCCUCCCUCCUCCCCUCAGUGCCAGCCACAUUCUCCCCUCCCAAAGCCUCCCGUCCCAUCCCAACAACCCAUCCCUCCCUCCUCUCCUCUGCAGUCCACCUCCAGUCAGCCUGAUCAGCCCUGGGGAGCCUGACUGCUCCAUCAUCUUCAGUCACCCAGGAUGUGAAGAACAAACUACAGGUGAGACCAAAAGUUGAGCCUCGGCUAAAAUUAUCCUGAAAUGACAUCCCCUAAUCUUUGACAACACUCACCUGUCACCUUCUUCAACACUAAACAUCCUUAACUGGAAACUUCACAUCUCUUUCACUAAAUCAGCUUCCUCGAGGAUGGGUGUUCUGUAUCGUCUCCGCCAGUUCCACUCCCUUACACAGUUGCUAUCCAUAUACAGGGGCCUUGUCUGCCC